rnacentral:lncRNA from 1 species
AAUAAUAUUGAUAAUAAAUUCAUAAAAGUCUUUUUUGGCAAUACCAAGAAUUUUUUAUAAGAUAAAUUCAAUCUUAUCAUCCAAAAUCUUCUCUUUUAAGAUGCCCUUCAUAUCAACUAAGGAUUCAAUAUCAAAUUGAAGCUUAUAGACUAUUGUCUUAUUUUUUUUUCUUAGUAUUGUCUUUCUUCUCCUUGUUUCUUGUUUUUGCCUUUUGUUGCUUAUUGAUCCUUUUCUUGGAGCAAUGUUUCUACCACUUAGGACCUUCUUCUUAUUAGUUGACUCUCCUAACUCCUCUUCUUCACCAAUUUUGUCUCUCUUUGUUUUUUUAAUAUAUCAAAAAAUUCCUUCUCUCCAUACUUAUUCACCAAAUAGGCUUUGAUGAUAGUUGCAUCAACUAGAUUAUUUCAUUUAGUGAGUCUUCUAAAGCUUAUAUUUUUUUCACUAUUAUUUUUGUAGAUAUAUUUAUAGAGGUUUCUA